CGGCACGUGACCACUGAAGUGUCACUAAAGCCCCUGCCCCCGCUAUUCCACCAAUAUAUCCUUGUUAUUGAUGACCGGCACGUGACCACUGAAGUGUCACUUGUGCUUGUAAAUUUACACUCGGCAACGUUGUUGUGCUUCGCCAAAACUUGGGUCGCCCUGAGCUGCUGAUAGAUAUCUACCUUCGUAGUUGCUCGCUAGCGCGAUCUUGCUUGCUUGCUGUAUACCGUAACCGUUACCCUUCGUUUGCUUGUUGUUCCACGCGGCGUGCCAACACCCUUCGUUAUUUUCAAAGCCGUCCUGUUGGUUUGUC
rnacentral:lncRNA from 1 species